rnacentral:rRNA from 2 species
UCCCUCGUGCUCCCAAGACUACCCGCUGAACUUAAGCAUAUCAAUAAGCGGAGGAAAAGAAACCAACCGGGAUUGCCUCAGUAACGGCGAGUGAAGCGGCACCAGCUCAAUUUUGAAAGCCUCGGCAUUGUAAUUUGUAGGCCGCGCACGCCACGCUUGCCACCAAGUGCCCUGGAACGGGCCGCCACAGAGGGUGACAGCCCCCCACGGCAAGCAGGCACGCGCGCGCCCCAGAGUCGAGUUGUUUGGGAAUGCAGCUCCAAGCGGGUGGUAAACUCCAUCUAAAGCUAAAUACCGGCGAGAGACCGAUAGCGAACAAGUACAGUGAUGGAAAGAUGAAAAGCACUUUGAAAAGAGAGUGAAACAGUACGUGAAAUUGGGGGAAGGGAAGGGUAGCUGGGACUUUUGAGCGCAGUCCAGAGGGCAGAGAAAAACGGCGGCGCAGCUUCGGCAACGCGCCGUCCCACGUCUGCCGCUCCAG